AUUGAACGCUGGCGGCAGGCCUAACACAUGCAAGUCGAACGAGUGGCGGACGGGUGAGUAAUGUCUGGGAAACUGCCCGAUGGAGGGGGAUAACUACUGGAAACGGUGGCUAAUACCGCAUACCAUCGGAUGUGCCCAUAUGGGAUUAGCUAGUAGGUGGGGUAACGGCUCACCUAGGCGACGAUCCCUAGCUGGUCUGAGAGGAUGACCAGCCACACUGGAACUGGGACACGGUCCAACAUCCUACGUGAGGCAGGGGUGGGGAAUAUUUCACAAUGGGCGCAAGCCUAAUGCAGCCAUGCCGCGUGUAUGAGGAAGGCCUUCGGGUUGUAAAGUACUUUCAGCGAGGAGGCGUUACUCGCAGAAGAAGCACCGGCUAACUCCGUGCCAGCAGCCGCGGUAAUUC
rnacentral:rRNA from 1 species